UACGUAGGGAGCAAGCGUUGUCCGGAAUCAUUGGGCGUAAAGCGCGCGUAGGUGGCCUCAUAAGUCCGCUGUGAAAGUCAAAGGCUCAACCUUUGAAAGCCGGUGGAUACUGUGAGGCUAGAGUACGGAAGAGGCGAGUGGAAUUCCUGGUGUAGCGGUGGAAUGCGCAGAUAUCAGGAGGAACACCGGUGGCGAAGGCGGUUCUCUGGGCAUUACCUGACGCUGAGGAGCGAAAGUGUGGGGAGCGAACAGG
rnacentral:rRNA from 1 species